CACACACACACACACACACACACACUCACAUACGUGCGCACGCAUGCACACACCCUAUACACGCCUGGGCUCAAGACAGCUCAGUCACACAGGGUCCUGCUUACUACCGGAGUGGAGGGAGUAGUGAGUGUGUGUGUGUGUGUGUGUGUGCGCAGGGGGCAGGGGUGAAGAGAAAGGGUUGAGGUGUGAGUGUGUGUGAGGAGGGGGAGUGUUGAGAAAGGGUUGAGGUGUGUGUGUGUGUGUGUGUGUGAGGAGGUGGGCCUACAAUGACAAACCCUGGGCUUAGGCUGGGUUUAGUUGUGGAUGAAUGGGUUUUAAAGCAGACCCUUAGCGACGGGCACAGCAGACCCUUAGCGACAGGCGUAGCAGACCCUUAGCGACGGGCACAGCAGACCCUUAACGACGGGCGUGAGGAGAACCUGAGGGCAACACAGCGCCAACAAAAACUGAUGUGUUCAUUCUUAGACGUCCGAAGAUAACUAUUACUUGAGUUUUAGAAAUAUCAAUUUACAGUUCACUGCACAUUUAUAGAAUGUAAAAGUUUUUUUUUCUUUCAUUUCAAGUAAAAGUUUUAUACAAGAUUUAACCCUGGCAAAUACUUUGAGAGUGUCGAUCGUGGAUUUAGCGGUGUGGUGUUGGCAGUGUUAACGUACAUAGCAUUAGUCGUAUUUCUAAUGAUGGUGUUAGCGUGUCUAGUCUUAGCAGUAUUUCUGAUGAUGGUGUUAGCGUGUCUAGUUAUAGUGGUAUAUCUAAUGAUGGUGUCUAGUUAUAGUGGUAUAUCUAAUGAUGGUGUUAGCGUAUCUAGUUAUAGUGGUGUUAGCGUGUCUAGUUAUAGUGGUAUAUCUAAUGAUGCUGUUAGCGUGUCUAGCGUUAGCAGUAUUUCUGAUGAUGGUGUUAGCGUGUCUAGCUAUAGUGGUAUAUCUAAUGAUGGUGUCUAGUUAUAGUGGUAUAUCUAAUGAUGGUGUUAACGUGUCUAGUUAUAGUGGUAUAUCUAAUGAUGGUGUUAGUGUUUAGUGGUAUAUCUAAUGAUGCGGUUAGCGUGUCUAGCGUUAGCAGUAUAUCUAAUGAUGCUGUUAGCGUGUCUAGCGUUAGCAGUAUUUCUGAUGAUGCUGUUAGCGUGUCUAGCGUUAGCAGUAUUUCUGAUGAUGCUGUUAGCGUGUCUAGCGUUAGCAGUA
ensembl:lncRNA